UACCCUGUAGAACCGAAUUUGUGUGGUAGUCACACAGUCACAGAUUCGAUUCUAGGGGAAUA
rnacentral:pre_miRNA from 1 species